rnacentral:rRNA from 1 species
UACGGAGGGUGUGAGCGUUAAUCGGAAUUACUGGGCGUAAAGCGCACGCAGGCGGUUUGUUAAGCUAGAUGUGAAAGCCCCGGGCUCAACCUGGGAUGGUCAUUUAGAACUGGCAGACUAGAGUCUUGGAGAGGGGAGUGGAAUUCCAGGUGUAGCGGUGAAAUGCGUAGAUAUCUGGAGGAACAUCAGUGGCGAAGGCGACUCCCUGGCCAAAGACUGACGCUCAUGUGCGAAAGUGUGGGUAGCGAACAGG